CGCGCCGCUUCCCGGGGUCAUCCGCGAUGCUGCGUGCGGCGCGUGGCGGUGCCGGGCUCCUGCGGCGGGGACCGGGAGCGGGGCCGGGAGCGGGUCUGCGCCUCGCGCCGGGCCCCGGCCCCGCCUGGCGCCCCCCGGGGCGGCUCCUGCAGCACGCGCUCCCGCCCGCCGCCCCGCCCGCCGUGGGGCGGUGGCUCCUGGUCUGCAGCGGCGCCGUGGCCGGGGCCGUGGUGCUGGGCGGCGUCACCAGGCUGACGGAAUCGGGUUUGUCUAUGGUUGACUGGCACCUGGUAAAAGAAAUGAAACCCCCGAGGACGCAGCAAGAGUGGGAAGCUGAGUUCCAGAAGUACCAGCAGUUCCCAGAGUUUAAAAUCCUCAAUCACGACAUGACGCUGACAGAGUUCAAGUUCAUUUGGUACAUGGAGUAUUCGCACCGCAUGUGGGGCCGCGCGGUGGGCCUGGCCUACAUCCUGCCCGCCGCCUACUUCUGGAGAAGGGGCUGGCUCAGCCGCCCCAUGAAGGGCUGCGUCCUCACGCUCUGCGGGCUGGUCUGCUUCCAGGGACUGCUGGGAUGGUACAUGGUGAAGAGUGGGCUGGAAGAGAAGCCAGACUCUUUCGACAUUCCUCGGGUCAGUCAGUACCGCCUGGCAGCACACCUCGGCUCCGCCCUCCUUCUCUACUCUGCUAGCCUGUGGACAGGGCUGUCUCUGCUGCUCCCGCGACACCAGUUACCUGAGACCCAUCAGCUGCUCCGCCUGAGACAGUUUGCUCAUGGCACUACAGCUCUCAUUUUUCUUACCGCUCUUUCAGGUGCUUUUGUGGCAGGGCUGGAUGCUGGCCUUGUGUACAAUUCCUUCCCCAAAAUGGGGGAGCGCUGGAUCCCAGAUGAUCUUCUUGCCUUCUCCCCCAUGCUGAGAAAUAUCUUUGAGAAUCCUACAACUGUACAGUUCAAUCACAGGAUCUUGGGCAUUGCCUCAGUGACAGCUGUCACUGCACUGUACCUCUUCUCCCGGAAGGUCCCGCUCCCUCGCAGGACCAGGAUGGCAGUGACUUCCUUACUGGCUGUGGCUUACAUGCAGGUACUGUCUUUGUUGUUUUUUUUUCUUCUCCUAUGUUUUUCUUCUCCCUCUAGCCCUUUGUAGCAUAUUGACAAGACAGAGCCAUCCGUAGCUUGGGCGUGUGCUAGCCCCAAGAGCCUGGAGCUUUGUGAUGGAGCUACCUGGACUUGGAGCCUCACUGUUCUGCACCAACAGUCAGAAUUUGAGGGUGGAAAAAUCCGGCUGUGGCUGUGGGCCUUUCCACAUCAUACUCAGUGCUGGCAAUGUGUCUCAGAGGGGCACCCGCAGCUGCUCUUAACCCCUUCUCCCUUCUUGGCAGGGUGAUCAUCACGAUGCUGGUCACCACCGCCGUGUG